rnacentral:rRNA from 1 species
UUUCAAGGACUAAGCCAUGCACGUGUGAGAGCACGCGGCCUUGCUGCACAACCUGUCUGCGAAUGGCUCAUUAGACCAGCAAGAAUCUCUGCAGGGAGUGCUUCCGUCCCCUCUUGGGGGAACGUGUGAUGGGAGACGGGGACUCCCCCCCUUCGGGGGAGGAGGGAAAGCCCCGGGCCCUGUGCCUCUUCUGCGUCCUGAGAUUGCGGGAAGAGCGCGGGCGCCAUUGUGCUCCCUUCUGGCCGUCGGUGGAACACCUCUCUUUCUGAAACAGUUGGCUAAUACAUGUGGGGAAGGUGAGCAGGCCCUCCUUUCCAUUCCUCCUCUUCUCUUCUGGGAUGAGAGAGGGAUGCGAGGGGAUCCACUGGGCUGAAACAAAGAAGGAGCCUGCCGCCCUCCCCCACUGUGGGGGGCCAUCUCUGCGGAGGUGGAACCAAGCCUUCUGUGGAGGAUGCCAUGAGAGGGAGGUCCCGCCGAGAGGCGGAACGGCGUUCCCCCGCGCGACGGGCCAGCAUACGCGACCUCGAGAGGGGCUGAUGCCACUGCCACGGGAAUGCGCUAGUGGGGAGACCUGCGAAGCUACCCCACUACCCUGCUCGGAUUUCUGCCCUAUCAGCCCCGGAUGGCGGUCCCCGGGCCCACGGUGGCGAUAACGGGUAACGCGGAAUGAGGGUUCGAUUCCGGAGAGGGAGCCUGAAAUACGGCUACUACAACCAAGGUUGGCAGCAGGCGCGCAAAUUGCUCAAUAUCAGUGUGCAUUGGUGAAGCAGCGACGAGGAGUGCUACCUGUAUCCGGUUAGAUUGAUCGGGACUGGUGGAAUGAAUGAGGACCCAAGGAAUGCAGUGAGCAUCCACUUGUGGGCCAGUCUGGUGCCAGCAGCCGCGGUAAUUCCAGCACAAGUGGCCUACUUUGACGUUGUUGCUGUUAAAAAGCUCGGAGUUGGUUGGCAUCCGAGACCCUGCCCGUGUCCGAAGCCCCGGGUGGGGUUCUUCCCCCCCGAGGCAGAAGCCGGUGCAGACUUGAGGUGCCGCCCUGGUCUUGGCCCUGCCCUCUUCCCGCUCCGCCGGUCGCCUGGGCCGCCGGGGGGGAGAGGAGCACGCGGGAAAUUCCCUGUGCUCUCUCUUCCUCCCCCGGUGGUUUUCUUUGCGCGGGAGUGGGAGAAGUGGAGGGGAGGUGCCGGGACCGGGGGUUUUCAGUGGGAGCGAUUCUUCGAAGAGCAGGGGGCAGCGUUGGGGACCAUCCCCCCGCAGCGUCUGGAGCAGGGCCUGCCCUCUUCAGGCGACUCGUGGAUUCGGGGAUCCCUCGGCGCUCCCUCUCUGCAGAGAGUCUUCCUCUCUGCUUGUGGCCUACAUCCUGAAACCUUGCGGAGGGGCCGAGAGGUCGGCACCCAGAGAGCGUCUCUCCUCCCCCCGUUCGCGGGGGCAGUGGGAGGUUCUGGGGGCUGGUCUUGCAGGCCAAGGGAGACGCCCACUGGGCUUGUACCAUGAACAAAGCUGAGCGCUCCGAGCAGUUGCCCUUUCUGGCGAUCGGAUGUCCAAGCGUGGCAUGACAAGGGACCGGUCCAUUGGAUCCAAUGUUCUGGCAUUCUUUACUGGCCUAUUCUUGGACGAACUUCGCUUCCUCAUGGGACGUCCCCGUGGUUUCACCCAGCUCUGGGAAAGAGGGGGUGGGGAACGAGAGAACAGUCUCGGGCCUCGCCUCACCUGGAGCCCUUGGGCUGCGGGAAUGGACCAAGGGAACGAGGUGUUGACGGAGGUCGUUUCGGUGCUCAGGGGACUGGACGGCGAGCGGUGAAACGCUUUGACCCGUCUCAGGACCACCAGAGGCGAAAGCGCUGAGCGGGUCUCGACCAGCCAAUCAAGAGCGAGUGUGCGGGGAUCGAAGAGGAUCAGAUACCCUCGUAGUCCGCGCUGUAAACUGUGCCUACUGAGGAUGGGGGCAGUGUUCCUUCGGAAUGUCUGCCCCUGUCCUACCCCCCGCAACGAGAAAUCCAAGUGUAUGGGUUCAGGGGGGAGUACGGUUGCAAGACUGAAACUUAAAGGAAUUGACGGAAUGGCACCACAAGGCGUGGAGUGUGCGGCUUAAUUUGACUCAACACGGGGAACGUUACCUGGAUAGCACGUGGACAGGACAUGACAGGCUGAAGCACUCUCUUGAUAACUCGGCAAGUGGUGCAUGGUCGUUCUUGGUUGGUGAAGUGAUUUGUCUGGUUGAUUCCGAUAACGAGCGAGGUCUUCACCUUCCAGUAGCCAGGCUCUCGCUCGCUGUAGGGCUCACGACCUCCCUGGGCCUCGGCUUGGGGCUGGUCUGGCCCGGGAGUGGCGCGCGGUUGCUUCUCAGUGGGCUCGGGCACUUCGUCUUGGACUAAGUACCCACAGCCGGAAGCCGACAGCAGGUCUGUGAUGCCCUUAGAUGCCCAGGGCCGCACGCGCACGACAAUGCUGUUGUGAGCCUGUGGAAAGUCCCCUGUGGUAUCCGGCGGUGGUGGGGUGGGGCCGCUCUUCCCUUUCGAGUGUGGGAGAGGCUCUGCUCUGCUCUGCUGGGUGUCCACCGGAAUCCAGGAGUUCCCGUGGUUUGACGAUGAACUGGGAAAUCCCCAAGCUCACCGGACGUGAUUGGGGAUCGGUGCUUGCCACUGUUCGCCUUGAACGAGGAAUGCCCAGUAAGUGCAGGUCAUCAGCCUGCGCUGACUGCGUCCCUGCCAUUUGUACACACCGCCCGUCGUUGCUACCGAUGGCGCUGAGAUAGAGGCCCGAGGAGACUAGUAGCGGGUAAGGGCAGAGGACCGGGCCUCCGGGUUCGGCCCCUUCCCCCCUCGUGAACGAAGAAUUCGGCCAAUAUCUCAUUGCUGGAGGAAGCAAAAGUCGUAACAAGGUWGCUGUAGGUGA